GACGAACGCUGGCGGCGUGCUUAACACAUGCAAGUCGAACGGAAAGGCCCUGCUUUUGUGGGGUGCUCGAGUGGCGAACGGGUGAGUAACACGUGAGUAACCUGCCCUUGACUUUGGGAUAACUUCAGGAAACUGGGGCUAAUACCGGAUAGGAGCUCCUGCUGCAUGGUGGGGGUUGGAAAGUUUCGGCGGUUGGGGAUGGACUCGCGGCUUAUCAGCUUGUUGGUGGGGUAGUGGCUUACCAAGGCUUUGACGGGUAGCCGGCCUGGGAGGGUGAACGGCCACAUUGGGACUGAGAUACGGGCCAGUCUCCUACGGGGGGCAGCAGUGGGGAAUAUUGCACAAUGGGCGGAAGCCUGAUGCAGCAACGCCGCGUGCGGGAUGACGGCCUUCGGGUUGUAAAAAGCUUUCGCCUGUGACGAAGCGUGAGUGACGGUAAUGGGUAAAGAAGCACCGGCUAACUACGUG
rnacentral:rRNA from 1 species